rnacentral:rRNA from 1 species
UACGUAGGGGGCAAGCGUUUGUCCGGAAUCAUUGGGCGUAAAGCGCGCGUAGGCGGCCCGGUAAGUCCGUUGUGAAAGUCAAAGGCUCAACCUUUGAACGCCGAUGGAUACUGCCGGGCUAGAGUCCGGAAGAGGCGAGUGGAAUUCCUGGUGUAGCGGUGGAAUGCGCAGAUAUCAGGAGGAACACCGGUGGCGAAGGCGGGUCUCUGGGCCGAUACUGACGCUGAGGAGCGAAAGCGUGGGGAGCGAACAGG